GAUAUUAACAUAAUAACAAUAAAAAUCAAAAUAAGUGGCAGCCAGUCUUCGUCCAUGAUUAAAUCAACCUCUCCCUUUUCCUCUCGGCAAUUCUAGGAUAUUGUUUUCUCUACCUGAUCAGUUCUGAGCUACUAGAGGCAUUAUACGAGAAAUUUCAGUCUGAAUGUGCAAAGUUCUCGCAAUAUCAGUUUGAUUUGCAAGGAAUGAUUGAUUUAGUAAAGUCUGUAGCUGAAGAUACCGUGAAAGAGUAAUAGGAAGCUCCCCAGCCAAAUCCAAACAACGGGUAAAAAUAGAGAAAGAAAUAAAAUUAUUGAUCAAGUGACACAGAUUUAUGGUGAGUAUAAUUGUUUUCUCAUUUUUAUUUCGGCUAUGAUGCCGGUCGCUGUUAUAAUCUGAAUCGUUUAUGAGACGAAUAUGAGUGUUAUGGGCAUUAGUAAAUAAGAUUAAUGCUAAAAAUGUAUG